rnacentral:rRNA from 1 species
CAAUAGCGUAUAUUUAAGUUGUUGCAGUUAAAAAGCUCGUAGUUGGAUUUCGGGUGGGACGCAGCGGUCUCGCAUUGCGUUUGUACUGCUGCAGCCCUCCUUCUUGCCGGGGGCGGCCUCUCGGACUUCACUGUCUGGGGGUCAGAAUCGGCGAUGUUACUUUGAGUAAUUUAGAGUGUUCAAAGCAAGCUUACGCUCUGAAUAUAAUAGCAUGGGAUAACACGACAGGACUCUGGCCUAUCGUGUUGGUCUAUAGGACCAGAGUAAUGAUUAAGAGGGACAGUCGGGGGCAUUCGUAUUCCGUUGUCAGAGGUGAAAUUCUUGGAUUUACGGAAGACGAACAUCUGCGAAAGCAUUUGCCAAGGAUGUUUUCAUUGA